rnacentral:rRNA from 1 species
GAUGAACGCUGGCGGCGUGCCUAAUACAUGCAAGUCGAGCGAACAGAUGAGGAGCUUGCUCCUCUGACGUUAGCGGCGGACGGGUGAGUAACACGUGGAUAACCUACCUAUAAGACUGGGAUAACUUCGGGAAACCGGAGCUAAUACCGGAUAAUAUAUUGAACCGCAUGGUUCAAUAGUGAAAGACGGUUUUGCUGUCACUUAUAGAUGGAUCUGCGCCGCAUUAGCUAGUUGGUAAGGUAACGGCUUACCAAGGCAACGAUGCGUAGCCGACCUGAGAGGGUGAUCGGCCACACUGGAACUGAGACACGGUCCAGACUCCUACGGGAGGCAGCAGUAGGGAAUCUUCCGCAAUGGGCGAAAGCUUGACGGAGCAACGCCGCGUGAGUGAUGAAGGUCUUCGGAUCGUAAAACUCUGUUAUUAGGGAAGAACAAAUGUGUAAGUAACUAUGCACGUCUUGACGGUACCUAAUCAGAAAGCCACGGCUAACUACGUG